AGCAGCCAUACGGAGCCACCUCGGUAGAGCCAGGGGCCUCUACCAUACCCCGAUUCACUGCAUUCUGGAAUCACUUGAUGCGGCCGAAUCAAUCACAUUUGAGGAAGUUGAACUUCCUGAAUCAUUCACGAGCUGAUUUGGUGGCUGUUGAUGUUGCUUGGUCGCUUCUGAUAUGUUUGGUGGCUGUUUAUGUAAACUUUUGAUGUUGUAAUCUAAUAUUUGGUUUGGACAUGUUAUCUGAUAUGUUUGGGGGCUGUUUAUGUAAACUUUUCAUGUUGUAAUCUGAUAUUUGGUUUGGACAUGUUAUCUGAUAUGUUGGUGGCUGUUUAUGUAAACUUUUCAUGUUGUAAUCUGAUAUUUGGUUUGGAUAUGUUAUUUGAUAUGUUUUGGACAUGUUGUAAUCUGAUUUGGUUUGGAUAUUGUAAUCUGAGUUUUUAUAUUCGACCUGGCUUGCAAUAUUUGGCUUCAA